AGAGUUUGAUCCUGGCUCAGAAUCAACGCUGGCGGCGCGCCUAACACAUGCAAGUCGCACGAGAAAGCGGGAGCAAUCUCGCAAGUACAGUGGCGUACGGGUGAGUAACACGUGGAUCAUCUACCCUGGAGUGGGGAAUAACGCUGGGAAACCGGCGCUAAUACCGCAUAUUCCCGAGAGGGGAAAGCAGCAAUGCGCUCGAGGAGGGGUCCGCGGCCGAUUAGCUAGUUGGUAGGGUAAAAGCCUACCAAGGCUGUGAUCGGUAGCCGGCCUGAGAGGGCACACGGCCACACUGGCACUGAAACACGGGCCAGACUCCUACGGGAGGCAGCAGUGGGGAAUCUUGCACAAUGGGGGAAACCCUGAUGCAGCGACGCCGCGUGAGCGAUGAAGCCCUUCGGGGUGUAAAGCUCUUUCGGCAGGGAAGAUUAUGACGGUACCUGCAGAAGCAGCUGCGGCUAACUACGUGCCGGCAGCCGCGGUAAUACGUAGGCAGCAAGCGUUGUUCGGAGUUACUGGGCGUAAAGGGUGUGUAGGCGGCCUGUUAAGUUCCGUGUGAAAUCUCCCGGCUCAACCGGGAGGGUGCGCGGAAAACUGGCGGGCUAGAGUGCGGGAUGGGAGAGUAGAAUUCCUGGUGUAGCGGUGAAAUGCGUAGAUAUCAGGAGGAAUACCGGUGGUGUAGACGGCUCUCUGGACCGCAACUGACGCUGAAACACGAAAGCGUGGGUAGCAAACAGGAUUAGAUACCCUAGUAGUCC
rnacentral:rRNA from 1 species